AGAAACUCUGCGGGUUUGCCUCCCAUCUCAGCCACAACAAGAGGUCCACGCUCACUAGCCCAGAUUUGGUAAGCCCCCAUUCCCACCGGUCAGAGCGACCAUCUGCAUGGGUCCCAGAGAAGAUUUCUUGAGCUCAAAGCUAUCCCUGUGCUCCCUUGACUUUGGAAACAGUUUCUUCCUUGCGGCUGAGAAUUCCAGGCCAGGCCUGCUCUCUGGCUCAGCAGCACCGGCUCUGAGUGUUAGACUUUCCCUUUCCCCGUCCCUCAUUUGCGGCCUUCUGCAAACACUAGUUCAGCCAGUUUGCCUGAAAAUCGGGUUGGUUCUGCCCUUUGCCAGGGACUCUGUUGCCCUCCUCCUCCCACUUGCACUUGGCUCUCAUAGUGCCGCGUGACCACAAGCGUUGCUAGGAUACGAAACACGCGCUUCUUUGAGCCCUUCCUUCCCUCCCCCUCUCCUCCCCCCUACCUGCCACCGCAGACUCUGGGCAGUGGGCCGUUGGAAGUCCCGCCCCACCAGCGACCCACUCUCACUCGAGAGAGCUCCCGCAGGAGCUGCUGCCACCCAACCUCUGCCAUGUGGGUUACAUAGUCAGACCCAAACCAACCCAGAUAGUGCCUGGUCAGCCUCUUUUGGCGCUAAGGUGUUGGCUUUCAAUGCCCAGUCUUUAGCACUGGCCUCCUGGCUGACCUACAAGUUAAACCUUAGACCCUUCUCGAAAGCAGUUCAUUAACUCCUUGAGCUCUUGCAGCCGGCAGAAAAUUCCUGGUACCAUGUUGAAUUGCUUUCUGGCAAUUUCCAGGAAAUUGCUGCCAGAGCCUCUAGUUACUACUCAUGUGACGACCUGAAUUUCUAGUUUGGCCAUAUACAGACCUGUCACUGAGCCCUUCUUAGGACACCGGUACGAAAAGUUCAGUGGCAAUCCCAUCACCAAAAGGGCACUAAAUUGUCUUCAAACAUAUAUUUUCAGGGAUCUUCAUACAUAAUGCCAGCAGUCUGGUAAAUAGAAAAAGGGCCCGAGAGCUUACCGAUCUGUGCUCCUACACACCCGCGGCCAGUUCUCAUGGCCUUUGAGCUCAGUUUGUGUCACAGGACAAACUCAUUUUCUGUCCUCACGAUCUUAUGCCAUUGCUGCCAGCUUCCUUAUUCUGAUCCUAACCAAAUAUUUCUUUGCAAAUACAAAAAUAUACUUUUCUCUACCUACGCAACCUGUCAAAGUUACCUAAGGUUUUCAUUCCUAUCCUGUCUUAAUAUGAUUUUUACUACUCUCAUUAAAUUCUAUUCGGUUAUAACCAACCUAUAUAGCACUCAAUCCUGUCAGAAGUUUGUUAAUUAUUAAGUUUCUGACAGACAGAAUUCCCAAAAGCCUCUAACAGUUUCUCCCACGAAGUCUCAGAGGAUGUGGGCACAACUACAGGACACUGCCUGGACUGUGAGAUGAUAAUCACUGACAUACACAGUGGUCAACACUGGAUACCCUGAGUCAAAUGACUUGGCUUAAUAAAGAUGCAGACGCUUCUUAUUGGACCAGUUCCUUCCGACCUAUCCUCAGAUGGCUCCACAGACCCUGGACAGCAAGGAAGCAGCCAACUCUCCUAAAAUUGGACAAACAUCUCCCAUACCCAUCCCUCUGGGUUCCCCAGAGACACGUCACCCCAGUGUCAGCAUGAAGCAGCCAGGUAUCACAACGACCCUAUUCCUGCUUCAUUAUCAUCUCUUUCUAAUUUUUUUCUUUUUUAACUAAACCAAAAUGGGGGAAUGUUGGUAUUCUGUCUAAAAUCCACCCCCACAGUUGCCUGGCAACAGCCAGGUAUGCUCCUCCCCAUAGUUACCUGGCAACAGUCAGGUAGGCAUGGCCCACUAUAAAGGGAGCUGCUUGCCCCCUCCUCCCUCUCUUACUCCUGCUUCUCUCCCUUGCCUCUUGCCCCUUUGCUCCCAUUUCCCUCCCCCCUCUCUCCAUGUGGUCAUGGCUGUCCUCUAUUUCUCCACUCUCUCCCUCUCUCUCUUUGCCUUUCUCUGCCUCUACCACCCUCAACUCCCCUCCACAUUCCCUGAAUAAAGUCUGUUCUAUACUAUACCAUCGUGUGGCUAGUCUCAGGGGGAAGGGCAUGGGCCUGCUGAGGC
rnacentral:lncRNA from 1 species